CCACGCCGCGUGCACCAAGCUCUUUCCCAGCGCAACCGCCGUCUUCAUCAUCUCCGCCGCCUCCUGGCCGUUGCCGGCGCCCCGCAGCCUCCGAUGGGGCAGCCUCCAGCCCCUGCCCCGCGCGCCGCCUGCUUAAGGGGCUGGACCCCUGGACCCUGAGGUCACCAGCCCAGCGGACUGAGUCACCCAGGAUCUCCUGUGGAAACAACGAAAGGAAAAACAAGCAGACAACCUGGGGACAAAUGCCCUGGAAAACGGGUGAAAAUAUUUACCAUCUUCCAUAGCAAGAACUUGACCAUCAGCGGAGAUGGAGAGAGGGUUCUACUGUGGAAACGCCGGAACAAGAACCGUGUAGACAACGUGAGGUCUCCCACCCUGGAACGUGGGUGAAAAUACCUAAUAUAACAUCCCCUGUGGCACACACCGAAGUUGGAACAGUCCGUGCUGUCAUUAGAAGGUUCUACUGUGCAAACGCUGGAACGAGAACCGUGUAGACAACCUGGGGACACCCGCCCUGGAAUGUGGGUGAAAAUACUUAAUUUAACAUCCCCUGUGGCACACCCAGAAGUUGGAACCUUCCGUGGUGUCAUUAGAAGGACCCUGGGAUCAUGACCCGAGCCAAAGGGAGAUGCUCAACCGAAGGAACCACCCUGCUGACCACAUUAUUACGGCUUUUAAAUUCGGGUGAAGAUGACCCACAAGAUCUUUCCAAGGCUGUGGCGUCUGAGUUUGAAGAAUCCUUGAAAGACUCUCCACCCACUUCUAUGGUCGUCUCAGAAAGCAGCGAAACUGGUGUGUAUUCUGGAAUCAGUCUCUUGCUUAGGAAAAUCUCUAAAUAGUAAGGCAGAUGGGGCAACCUUGCUGUCCUCACACCCAGACACCCUUGCUGUCCAGGCACCCAGAUUCCAUGUUCCUGAGGCUUGGGAGUAUGUGAGAUAGGCAGCUUUCCCAGUUUCAUCCUUGGAUUCAUUCCUCAUAACAAAAUUCAUGGAAAACAUCAGUGAGGAAGAACAAAUCAGUAUCAUCAAGGUGGCCUCAGAACUAGUGACAGCGGUACGUACCCUGAAGCAGUCUCUUCCUGUCUUUAGUCAGGAGCGCCAAUCUGAUCCUGGGUCCUCACUGGAAUGAAAAUCACAGGUGUAGUGAACUAAACAAAAACCCAAACCAGAAAACGGGUCUUCCAGGUGGAGACCCAUGGACAUGUUUUCACAAGCAAAGGGGUAGCAUUCAGGUAAGGAGUUUGUGUCCAGAGAGAUAGAGGGAAGUAGAGAUACAUGGACGCCAGGGCUCAGUGAGUUCAGCAACUCAAAAACUGGGAUCCACUUCUGGGUUGGCAAGGUCCCUGCUCAGCAUGUCUGGGGUGUGGGGCCCCACACUAAACCAGUACCUACCUAGGCUCUAGCCUGCAUCAGGAAGGAAAAGUGUGAGCUCCUGAAGAGGAUGAGGUGUGCCCCUAUCUGACUAUGACCAGCCCAUGUGUAUGGGGUCCUCUCCUCUGCUUAGAAGCAGCCCCUGCUGGGAUUCCUCUAGGACCCGAGUGCAGACCUUCCUGUCUGAGUGAUGCCAGGACCUCUUGUAGUGCCUGCCUCAUGGAUAGGAGCCCAGAGACCAACGGAAAUGAAGUCCGGUCAGGCCAGCAAAUUCCACUGCAGGAACCCCUAGGGCAGGGAGGUCACAGCUUCCUCAUUUUUGGAUCCUAGACCUGAGCUAUCCAAAGAGGCAGCCGAUAGCCAGACAUGCCUGCAUAUGUUGAAAUUCCUUACAGUCAAUGACGUUACACAUUCCAUCCCUCAUCAUACCAACCACAGUGCCAGAGCCCAGUAGAGCAUGUUGAAAACACAGAUCAUUUCCAUCAUCAUGAAUGGCUCUCCUGGGCAGCUGCUCUGAGUCUGGCAUAGUGGCUGCACAUGGACCCCAUCUAACCUAGCGGGUGUCCACCACCCAUCACAGGUGGGUCCAGGUGGAUCCGUGUCCACGUGAGAGCUAUCAUGAUCUUGUGGAAAUGGGGAAAUGCCAGGUGAAGGGGCAUCCUCUCUCUCUCAAGGAAGGUUUGCCACUGUGGUCAAUGUCUUGGUGAAGGGUUCUAACUCCCAAGAGCCCAGGGAAGGUCUGAGGAUCCCAAGGAAGAGCAGGUGUUGACAGGUGUUCCAAAGUGGCCUCAGUUGGAAUAGCAGGAACACGGGGCCUCACUGUCUAAUCACCUCAUCCUCGUGUUUGUAUCUCUAAAGAUUGGGCGGUGGAGAAUAUUGAGGAUGAAAUUCCUGAAGAGGAAGAAACCUCAGGUCUGGAAGCACAAUGAGGCGGGAAUCAACAGGAGGGGGUCCCUGGUGCAGUUGGAGUAUACCUGCUACUUUGUAGACUGAGUGGGCGGGAUGAAAUAAAGACGACGAUGUAUAGGAA